AGGCGGCUGCCAGCCCGGCGGCGGUGGCGGCAGUCCUGUUCGCCUCGACUGCGUUCAGGGGAGGCUGGCAACAGUUUCCUCCAGCGCCCAGGAUGCAGCGGGCAAAGGAGGUGAUGAAAGCGUCGGACGGCAGUCUCCUGGGCGACCCCAGGCGCACACCGCUGAGCAAGAAGGAGGGUGUCAAGUGGCAGAGGCCGAGGCUGACCCGCCAGGCUCUGAUGCGAUGCUGCCUGGUCAAGUGGAUCCUGUCCAGCGCGGCCCCGCAGGGCUCAGACAGCAGCGACAGUGAGCUGGAGCUGUCUGCCGUGCGCCACCAGCCUGAGGGGCUGGACCAGCUGCAGGCCCAGACCAAGUUCACCAAGAAGGAGCUGCAGUCCCUCUACAGGGGCUUCAAGAAUGAGUGCCCCACGGGCCUGGUGGAUGAAGACACGUUCAAACUCAUUUACUCACAGUUCUUCCCUCAGGGAGAUGCCACCACCUACGCACACUUCCUGUUCAAUGCCUUCGACGCUGACGGGAAUGGGGCCAUCCGCUUUGAGGACUUUGUGAUCGGUCUCUCCAUCCUCCUGCGAGGAACAGUCCAUGAGAAACUCAAGUGGGCCUUUAACCUCUACGACAUUAACAAGGAUGGCUACAUCACCAAAGAGGAGAUGCUGGCCAUCAUGAAGUCCAUCUAUGACAUGAUGGGCCGCCACACCUACCCCAUCCUGCGGGAGGACGCGCCCCUGGAGCACGUGGAGAGGUUCUUCCAGAAAAUGGACCGGAAUCAGGAUGGGGUGGUGACCAUUGACGAGUUCCUGGAGACGUGUCAGAAGGACGAGAACAUCAUGAGCUCCAUGCAGCUGUUCGAGAAUGUCAUCUAGGACGCGUGGGGUGGGGGCAGGCAGGCCCUGAGUGGCUGUGGCCUCCUCUGCCCCACAGAAACCUCAAUCCUGCCAGGAGCAGCCUCCAUGAGAAACUUUUUUUCUAAUAUAUUUGCAAAAAGUGAAUAUUUUGCUCCAGACAACCCCACCCCACACAGACACAGACAGACACACACACACAGACACACACACACAGACACACACACACACACCUCCUUCCUCUGGGCUGGCAGAUGGCAGGGCAGAGGUUAGGGAGGGGCCGAGUCUGGCUGGGAGCUGGGUCCGGGUGAUGAGAGCCACACAGCCCCUGGCCACCCUGGGCCAGCCUCUGGGAGCUGCUCUGGACUUUUUUAGGGCCGCACAUGCUGCAUAUGGAAGUUCCUGGGCUAGGGGUCAAAUUGGAGCUGCAGCUGCUGGCCAGUGCCACAGCCACAGCCACAGCAGAUCCGAACUGCUUCUGUGACCUGCACUACAGCUCACAGCAAUGCUGGAUCCUUAACCCACUGAGCAAGGCCAGGGAUCGAACCUUCGUCCUCAUGGAUGCUAGUCAGGUUUGCUGGCACUCCCUGCCCUCUGACUACACUUCCAGAAUAGCCCUCAGCGCAGGACCCCAGAUGGACAGCUGGGGGUCAAGGGAAUUUGGCCCAGGGAGGAGGUGACUGGACAGAGUCUGCUUUCCUGGAAAUGCUUCCCUGGGUCCCAGGACAUCUGCCAGGCCACACAGCUGUGUGUGCCGGUGGGGAGCGGCCAGCGGGCUCUGUCCUCCUUCAUCCCAGGAAAGGGGCUUUCAAGCUGGGGUUGGGUUUUUUGAUGGAGAAUCUGAGGGGAACUCUGCUGACUCCACUGGAGGUGGGAAGAAGCCUUCCUUUGCCCAGGCUGGCUCCGUGGGGAUGCAUGCUUACCCCGCCGGGGCCCCCAGGUCACUGUCAGUCCUGAGAAGGGGUCACCCGGCUCAGGGCUGGCAGCCAGGGAGUGUGGGGGGAAGGGAGGCAGCUUGAAUGAGCCCCCUCCCCCCUUCCUGGUUGGGGUCCGGAAGCCGUGUGGCCGCCCCUCCACACAGGCUCACCUCAACCCCAUACAAAAAGCACAAGGGCCCUAGCAGCUCAGGCUGCAGCCCACGAGCGGACACUCUGCUCUUCAAGGCAAGGCCAUCCUGGUGGGCUGAGGCCUGCGUCCCACCAGCCCAGAUCAGGUGGCCCCAGGGUUCCUUGGGGGGUCAGUUCUGUGCCUCAGAGCAGUGGGGGACCCGAAGCCUACCGCCCACCCAGCCCAGCCCAGCCACCUUCAAAAGCACAAACCCUGGGGAUUCUGCUUGGCUGGAUUCUGCUCUUGAGGGCGAAGGCCAGUGUCAGUCUGAAGCUAGCGCCAGUGGGGGUCGAGGGGCUGUGGUCAGGUGGCAGGUCAACAGAAAUUUCCAAGACAGAGAGGCUGCUCCCACCUGGCCAGGUCGCCCCGGGAAGGAACCCAGUCUCAGGCCACAGGGGCCCUUCCCAGGAACAUUCCCAAAGCAAACAUUCCAUCGGCCGCUGCCCCAUCUCUGCUCAGUGAGCAGGGCNNNNNNNNNNNNNNNNNGCAGCGGAGGCCGUGGAGACUGGCCUGGCUCAGCCUUGGGGACCCCUUGGCACCCCCCUACGGGUGGUCCUCCCCCUUGGAGUGGCACCAACACCCAUCUCCAGUCUGACUGGGGGCUCCCUCUCCCCCCACUCCAGGAGGGCAUCAGCUUUCCCAGGCUCAGGGAAUCUUUUCCCACAUCCCUGCCCCCCACCCCCAGCCCAGCCCUCCCAGCUGGUGUGGCUUUGAUUCUAAGAGGCCAAGGCCACAUGAGAGGGUCACCACCAUGCCCUGCCCCAUGCCCUGCCCACCCCCUGACCUUGGGCCAGACUGGCUGCAGGUCCAGCAGAAAAGGCUGGGAUGCAGAGCAGCCUCAUGUCUGUAUGGCAGAAGUGUCUCCCUCGGGCGCGGCCUGUGGGGGUGGUUCCUGUUCUCAGCACCCACCAAUAUUCAGUCCUGUAUAUUUUAAUAAAAUAAACUUGACAAAG
ensembl:lncRNA